GAUGAACGCUGGCGGCGUGCCUAAUACAUGCAAGUCGAGCGAACGGACGAGAAGCUUGCUUCUCUGCUGUUAGCGGCGGACGGGUGAGUAACACGUGGAUAACCUACCUAUAAUACUGGGAUAACUUCGUGAAACCGGAGCUAAUACCGGCUGAUAUUUUGAACCGCAUGGUUCAAAAGUGAAUGACGGUCUUGCUGUCACUUAUAGAUGGAUCCGCGCUGCAUUAGCUAGUUGGUAAGGUAACGGCUUACCAAGGCAACGAUGCAUAGCCGACCUGAGAGGGUGAUCGGCCACACCGGAACUGAGACACGGUCCAGACUCCUACGGGAGGCAGCAGUAGGGAAUCUUGCGCAAUGGGCGAAAGCCUGACGGAGCAACGCCGCGUGAGUGAUGAAGGUCUUCGGAUCGUAAAACUCUGUUAUUAGGGAAGAACAUAUGUGUAAGUAACUGUGCACGUCUUGACGGUACCUAAUCAGAAAGCCACGGCUAACUACGUG
rnacentral:rRNA from 1 species